UAACUUUUGCCCUAAGUCAAACCUGUCUAACUUUGAUCAAGUUUAUUGAAAGACAUAUUAACAUCUAUAUUAUCAAAUAAAUACACUAGCAAGUUAUAUUUCAUGAUGUAUCUAAUGAAACUAGUUUGAUGAUGUAGAUAUUUGUGCAUUUUUCAACAAACUUGGUCAAAGUUAAAGAAAAUUGACUUAGGACAAAGCUAAG
rnacentral:pre_miRNA from 1 species